GGAUUUGGCCGUCCUCGGACAGUGUCUUUGCCUUAUUGUUUAUGGUGAGCGAAGGGGUGUCGAUGUGUGGAUUAUGAGAGACUAUGGAUUGAACAGACCAUGGGAUAUGUUGUUCUCAAUGCCUAACCACUCAAGGCCUUUGGGACUUGUCCGGCCAUUGGCUUACUCCCAGAAUGGUCGUGAAGUUCUGGUGAGAGUUGGCACUGAGACUCUCCGUUGGCAUGAUUUACCAACAGGGCAUGACCGGAGGUUCGAUAUAAUUGCCAUGCCAUUCUUGGAAGCAGAAAUUUGUUUGCAAACCCUUGUUCCGGUCGAUUGAUUAUGGAUGAACUGCCGAGAUGAGGAGGUACCGCGUACUACUUAGCUCAGGAAAUGCAACAGGAGAAGGGAAGCUUUUUCUCCCAGUAUUUAGAUUCAUUGCUCAACUUUUGACGACAUGGACUGAUGUACGACGUGGACCGAUGUAUCAAUGGGAAAGGUUUGGUAACAAAAUGGAUGGAUCAAAAAUAGCUAUCCGACCUGCAAAGCUUACCUUUCAGCCUGUAAGUAGAGAGUACUUUUUUCUUUCCAUGAAGAACAAACUGCUAUCAACAGAUGUAACAUAAAGAAGAACUAAUUAGCACAAGUAAGGAAAGCUACUAUCAGACAAGCCCGCUGACAAGAACCACACAACUUGCAAUUCAAGCUAGGGAUUGCAAUAUUCCUUAAAUAUCGCAUAAUAAGUCGACCCAGUUGAUCUGCUCCUUCAAGUCCUUAGACCCAUACUUCAAUUUGCCCAUGACCAACAACACCUUGGUGAGAUUUUCGUCGAAGGAUGACAUGACAUCCCUCAAUUGAGUCCUCUUGGUACGAGACUUUUUUCUCGAGCCUUUUCUCCAACAACAGUAAUACCAAUAACUUCUGAUUCUGAUUUUCUCUCAACCACUUGAUAUGCACUACCAACUCUCUCAAUCACGCUCCUACAACUUGAUCUAAAUAUAUUUGUCACAGGCAGGCACAUUAGAUCAUGAACUGUGUGGCACUUAGGCUCCAAAUGACUCGUGCACCCUUUACUAUAGUCGUCUAAGCUCAGCCUUACCCUGAACUAUUGCUCACUCGCUCACUUGGCCCAUCUAGAAUUGUACAAAGAAACUUUAGGGGGACAAGUGUGGAAAAAUUCAAAGAAACCUCAGAAAAGGAAGAGAGGGGAAAACGAGGAAGAAAUAAAUGUAGAAGUAGAAACUAACUUUCGAAAUGAAGGGGAUUAAACAGGAACAAAAGGCAUCCACCCAAGAAGAUGUUGAAUCGACAGUUGCUCUUGUAUCUGAAAUUCCAAUCAGCUAGCUUGACUUUGACAUCAUUACCAACACCUCUAGGAAUAAUCAAUGUUCUGGAACUCAACAUGGAUGUGAUGCUGGAGGAGGAAAAAAUGUGAAAAAUUGGAUUCUGCAACAUUCUCCCCAAGAAUACUUGAAUAUCUUCAGUUGAAAAUUACAAUUGACUGCGUUAGUGGCAAAGUUUGGGGUUACAAACAUGCUCCAGAUGGAUGGAUUAUAGGUCCUUGAAAGAUUUUUUGUUAACACUGAUUGUCACAAGUUGAUGUAGAGUGGAUGAGCAGAGUAUUCUUCUGUAAAUGACAUUUUUGUGGAACCCAAGAGCAAUCACAACCGGUGGAGAAAGGUUCCAUUCAUGCUAAUAGCAUAUGCUUUGCAGGCUUUUAUUAAUCAAAGUGCCAAAAUAAAAAUAAGCUACCCCCAUAUUUGUCUUCCAAGAGCAAAAGGUGACUUGUAAGCUUUGUGGAGAGAAGCAUGGGUAACCAUCUGAAGAAGCUUGUAUCGAUUCUAAGCUCUUCUAUAAGACAUUAUUGGGUCUCUGGUCAGAGUUAUAGAUCGAAUGGAAUAACUGGGAGAGGGAAGAUUCCUACAUCUGGUUUGAAAGUGACUACUGAGUGUUGCCAUCAUGGUAUGUUAUGCUAGGAAAUUUGCUUUUGAUCCAAUUCAGUGGCAAUGUACCGCACAUAAAAGUUGCUGCAGCCAUUUUUUAUGAUAGUGCCUGGAACAGUAUUAGAACGAAGCAUCUAUUGUGGCCUGCCCGUGCCAAUCUAGUUAAAUCCAAAUCCAUUUGAAGCAUUGUUCUAUGACAAGCUCUGUUAAACAUCCCAUGCCCACUGGAUUGAAGGCACUUUCAUUGCCUGAGUGAGGAAUUUCUUGCAAUGUUGUUGAUUAAUGGGAGGAUUCUUUUCGGACGAAUCGGGAGUCAAUUCUUCUCCAAGGAAAGAGUCCCCUUAUGAGGCAUUGUUCCCUAACAAGUGUUAAUGAGUCCAUACCCAAUGGUUUGAAGGCACUCUAAUUGCCCACCAGUCUUGUUAAAUCCAAAUCCAUGUGAAGCAUUGUUCUAUAAGAAACUCUAUUAAACAUUCCAUACCCAAUGGGUUGGAGGCACUCUUUGCCUGAGAAUGAGGAAUUUCGUGCAAUGUUGUUGAUCAAUGGGAGGGUUUUUAUCCUGAUGAAUCAGGAGUCAGUUCUUCUCCAAGGAAAAGUCCCCUUAUGAAGCAUUGUUCCUUAACAAGUGUUAAACAGUCCAUACACAAUGGGUUGAAGGCACUCUAAUUGCCCGCCAAUCUAGUUAAAUCCAAAUUUAUGUGAAGCGUUGUUCUAUAAAAAGCUCUGUUGAACAUUCCAUAACCAAUGGGUUGAAGGCACUCUCAUUGCCUGAGAGUGAGGAAUUUCGUGCACUGUUGUUGAUCAAUAGGAGGGUUUUUCUUGACGAAUCAGAAGUCAGUUCAUCUCCAAGGAAAGAGUCCCCAUAUGAAGCAUUGUUCUAUAACGAGCGUUACACAGUCUAUACCCAAUGGGUUGAAGGCACUCUAGUUGCCUGCCAUUCUAGUUAAAUCCAAAUCCAAGUGAAGCAUUGUUCUAUAAAAAGCUCUGUCAAACAUUCCAUGCCCAAUGGGUUGAAGGCACUCUCAUUGCCUGAAUGAGGAAUUUCGUGCAAUGUUGUUGAUCAAUGGGAGGGUUUUUUUCCUUUUUCUGACGAGUCAGGAGUCAGUUCUUCUCCAAGGAAAGAGUCCCCUUAUGAAGCAUUGUUUCAUAACAAGUGUUAAACAGUUCAUACCCAAUGGGUUGAAUGCACUCUAAUUGCCCGGGAGUGAGGAAUGUCGUGCAAUGUUGCUGAUCAAUGGGAGUUUUUUCUGACAAAUCGAGAGUCGGUUCUCCAAGAAAAGAGUCCCUUUAUGACCUCAAUUUUUGCAGCAUCUUUCUUUUGCUGCUGAGUAAACCACAGAGCUUGUUUUCCAGGUGAUGCUUCUGAGCCAUUAUCGCUUAAGCAAUCAGUAUUUCACAGGAUAUUAACGUUUCAUAUGGACAGAUUGAAGGUCGUGGGUGAAUACUUUUUUCUCCCUUAAAUGGUCCUGUCAGAAUGGGGGCUUGAGCACCUCAUUUUAUGCAAUCUUCGGCCUUGGUUAUGUCGGCUUCUAAAAUGUUAAUUAUAGAGGCUGGUAGUUGCCGGCCUGUUGCAUCUGCUUAUUUGCUCUAUCUUAUUGAACGUAUAUGCAGGAGCACGGUGAAAUUACUGUUCCUUCUCUUGUGGACAAGUUAGAGUUCUUUAGCCUGUCGCGUCUUCUUCUCCGUUGUGAUUGAACAGGGGAGCAGCACCAGAAGACUUGUAGUUGACUUAACAUCAUGGCUCUUGUUGCAGGUCGAAUUACGUUGACGGUCUUUUUAAGUCGUCCAGAGACCUACCAUCUUAUUCAUUUUCCCCUGGAAAUCUGCUUCCUUCAUGGUACAAGUGGGGUACGAUUGUCCGAUCUGACUCCUAGAACAAGACGUCAUCUAGACGUGACUGGUGCUUCUGUCCGAGAUGUGUCACCUCGGUAUUUUUUUGGUCCAGAUACUUAGGCCAAGAUGUCAUUGAUGUUCCUGUCCAAGAUGUGAUUCGGUGGUGAUAAGGUUGGAUGAUUCAUCGUCAUCGACGCGGUAUCCAAGAAAAUCUUGACUGUCACUGUGGAGUUUAUAAUGGAAUGAGAAUACAAGCCCAUAUAUAGAGCAAGAGUGAACAAUAAACCCUAGCUACAUAGAUCCUAACAUUAUACUUUAUAUUAUUUAACAAGAAGUUACAGAAAGAAGAGCUCAUUAGCAUAAAUAAGGAAACCUACUAUAAGACACGAGUCCGCUGACAAGAACCGUACAACUUGAAAUUCAAACUAUGGAUGGCAAUAUCACUUGAAUAUAGCAUAAUAAGUUGACCUCGUUGAUCAGCUCCUUCAGGUCCUUGAACCCAUGCUUCAAUUUGCCCACGGCCAAAAACACAUUGGUGAGAUUUUCGUCCAAGGAGGACGUGACCUCCCUCAAUUAUCUUGGCCAAAGACUCCUCUUGAGCCUUUUCUUUAACAACAGCAGUUGGGGUCAAGAUAUGGUGCAUAAAAGUGGAAGCAAGUCUUCUUGGCAUUUACAGGAAAGCAAAUAUUUGUUCUGUCAAGUACUAUCCUGCAUCUAGCGCUCAAUGUUGUGUGUAUCUGCUUUUCUCACUCUAUGAAUUGACCAAUGGAUUCCCCUUUGGGACAUGAAAUUAUGGACAGAUCAACCA